UUAGAAAAGAUGAAAUUUUUGGAGGAGCUCAAUCCAUAUUUUGCAGAAAAGAACCGUACACUUCUUCUGGUACAUUUUGCGACAGAUUGCUCGGGGGCGGCGGGGGAAAGGAGUUCUGGGGAAGCAGUCACCUCGGCCGUUGGCCAUGUCCCGCAUAUUUUAACAGACAUCCAGCUCAUCCCCACCUUUUUUAACUCUCCUUUUCGGUCCAAAACCUAAACAAAGGGUGUCGCACAGGACCCACGCCUCCCCUGCAACAUAAUAUAUAUAUAUACACACAACCCACCUUGCCUAUACUGUCCUCCAUUUGAAUUUGGUUUAGCGUUCUCCACCUCGUUUAAUUCCCCACAGACCGAUCCUCGUCUUCCGGAAUUUUUUGCCCUACAAUGCUGCCAUACCAGACGCUCGACGAGGCCUCGGACGCCCUCGGCCGAAACCUGACCUACGCGGAGACCCUCUGGUUUCAAUACUCAGCCCGCAAGUCCGACUACUUCCUCUACUGCCACACCAUUCUCCUCCUCUUCUUCGUCUUCUCCGUCGUCCCUCUUCCUCUUGUCUUCCUCGAGCUUGCCCGCCUGGGCGGCUUCGAACGCUUCAAGAUUCAGCCCAAGGCCAGGUUGUCUUCCGCUCAAGUGUUUCGCUGCUACAAGGACGUCAUGCGCAUGUUCUUCUUCGUCGUCGGUCCCUUGCAGAUCGUUUCCUACCCCUCUAUUCGGAUGAUUGGGAUUCGCACGGGGUUUCCAUUACCUUCGGGAUGGGAAAUAUUUGCACAAUUGUCAGUGUAUUUCGUGGUCGAGGAUUAUUCGAACUACUGGAUCCACAGAUUUCUGCAUAACAAGUGGGGUUACGAGAAGAUUCAUAGAGUUCACCAUGAAUACACAGCGCCAAUUGGAUUUGCGGCUCCCUACGCGCAUUGGGCCGAGGUUUUGAUCCUCGGUAUCCCAUCUUUCCUCGGGCCGGCAAUGGUGCCCGGUCACCUGAUCACGUUCUGGCUGUGGAUUGCUCUACGGCAGAUUGAGGCGAUUGAAACGCACAGCGGGUAUGACUUCCCUUGGAGCCCCACAAAAUACAUUCCAUUUUACGGUGGUGCUGAGUAUCAUGACUACCAUCAUUAUGUUGGAGGGCAAAGCCAGAACAAUUUUGCUUCUGUGUUCACCUAUUGUGAUUACAUUUAUGGAACUGACAAGGGCUAUCGAUAUCAGAAGAAGCUCUUUCAGAAGGUAAACCACUAUUACAAGGCCAGUGCUUCUUGAAUUAGCCCGACUAUUUGGUUGAUUUCAUUAUCUGGAGCGUAAAGACAAAAGCAUUGCAAGAUUGAAAGGGGAAUUAAAAGCCGGUGGUCAACAGAAUGGGGGCUCACACCAUAUUUCUACCCAAGAUCUCAAAUCUGACUAGCUAUGAUACUGCAGAACCUAUCUAGAAAAAUGCUCUUUGUUAUGCUUUUCAGCAGUGACAACAUUCUGAAAUCUGUGAUUAGAUGUUAGUGUCAGUAUGCUAGUCCAUGUAGAAGUCCUCAGUGGCUGAGGAGAAUAUUGGCUUGGGAUUCUUCAAAAUUGGGAUGUUUUGUAGCUUGGGGAGGGAGAGAGGGGGUGUUGGGCUUUGUUUCAGAUUUCAAUGAAAGAUUGUAUAUAACUUUUUUUGACAAUCCAAAAUGAUGUCACAACCAAGUUACUGAAAGAAAAAUACUAGCUCUGGUACUUCUCCUAA